UAGAUUAUGUAGUUACUUUAGUUGUUGGAAAUCCCAUCAGCAACAUCAUUUGAUUUUAUAACCCUCUUUUUUUGGGUUUAUGAAUCUGCAACCUUAGUUAAAUGAGCUCUAAUUAAAUUGAGCUCAUGUAUGAAUGUCUGAUGCAAAUAGCUCAAUGGAUGGUGCAUGAUCACAUCACCUUAUUAUCCAAUAUCUAUGUUUUGCUCAACUAGAGGGCAUGGCAGUUGUUGUUUUGCUUGGUGCAAGUUGUUCCUAGGAUUCAUCUUCUGGUACAUUGUCAUUGAAGAAAUUGUCUUGGCUUGUUUUAGUGUUCUGCAGCUUUUGGUCGUUGACUGCAUAACAACAUCUGUAUUUGCCCCCCCCCCCCCUCUUCUCUCUCUCUCUCUCUGUGAAAACGCAUGCACUUCUUUGAGCGUUAGGGAUGUGGAUCCGCUUUCCUGCACCAUACUCCCAUGUGUGUCUCAACAUAUGUCGGCUUUUGAUGCUUACUUCAUUCACAUGUGUCAACGGUUGAGAAGCGUUUUAAGGGUUACAGCAUGAACGGGAGCCCUAUGGUUGUUGAGUAUCUUCAUCCAAAAUAUGCUAUCUUCUAGGUGGCCUGCAAUUUGACUACCCUUUCUGUGUGAUGGUACAUUGUCAAUCUAAAUGCAGAAGUUCGAUACCGGAAUCAUACUGCAUAAUGAAGUAGAUAUUUUCAAGCAAAAAGCAACAAGUACAUAAGCAGAAUUCUAUGAUCUUUUCCAAAGUGGAUACUGGGAACACAUCAGGCCUAAGAUGUGCACUGUACUGCCUACAGCUAGAUAAAUAAUGGGCAUAUUUUGCUCCAAGUGAUCUCAAUUUUCCACCCAAGUAGCUGUAGUUGCUGCACGUCACGAAAAGAUCCAAGCUCAAAGCAAACUCAUUUGAUUUGACUAUAACUGAUUUUUGUCAUUUGUGUUUUCAAAGAGGUUGGCUAUUUGGGUGGAGCCUGUUUCUUGUUAUUGCGGUAGCAGUUCAGAGCUCACGAGGUGUGAUAUUGCUUGCGGAGUUUGGUUAGAGUGACAAGAUCAAUAGGCUGGAAAUAAAGGUGCUGAAGAUUCACCAUAGGCCUCGUCUUCUUUUUCGCUUGUUUUAAUGUAUAUUCACUGCUCCAAACGAGCUUGACUUGAAGCAUGUAAAAUUAGGGAUAUUUGCGGAGAACUUUGUCUAGGCAUGCAUGCAUUUUUCUUAUUGGAAGCUUUAUGAGCCAUUGAAUCUCAUUAUCAUGAACAAGGUUGCAGUUCCAUUCCGAUUUUGAUUACUUCAAACGCAUGGUCCAUGCGUCAUUGAUUCUCAAUGAAUGCCGUGUGUUAGAAUUCUCCAAAGUUGUAUCUAACGUCAAAUACCUAACAUGAUAUUUUGUUCUAAGACACUAACGAUAAAAGACAGCUCGUUCUGAGUAUCUAGAUAUGUUCUGAGUAUCUAGAUAUUUUCUCGUGACGGGUACGGUUCUUUUUCAUUCUUUCACUCAUUUCGACAUAACAUAUGGUGCUUUGGUUUGGGAAAGCAAAUGUAACUCAGUAAUAGGAAGAUUAAUCUGUGAUUAGUCAUAAGAGGGGAUCAUGAUUGUUCCUGGAUAUGAUAGAAACUCCCGGAGUGGUCAUUUAGUUAAUUUCAUUGUGGAAACCAAAUAGAAGAAGAAUUAAGUAUGCAGGGGAUGAGUGGAAGAAGAAUUAACCAAUUCAAUUAGGAGUGAUCUUAGUUAUAUGGUGUUUCCUUGACUAGUUCUUACUCAUAGAGUUAGUCUACACAAAAAGCAGUUUGAUUUGGCUUUAGGCUAUUAUUCUAGUUGCAAUUUGAUUUGGCAAAUAAAAUGCAUACAUUGCAAUCAAUCCUACAGAAUUUAUCAUGACAUAUCCUCCUGGAUCAAUGCCUCUGCCUGCCAAUUUGCAUUGCCGUUCUCCUAAAAAUCAUGAAAGGCCUGCAAUAGGAAGUUCCAUCCAAAAUUGCAUAGGUCCUUUAAUUCAUCCUGAAAUUGCAUUCCUCUUGAAAUGGAAAUCCUAGAUUCAAUGUUAAGACAAAGUUCCAUCCAAAAUUGGAUAGUGAUAUUCCAAAUGAAUCACAUUAGGCUAGUGAUACUUGCUGAACAAUUUGUAAAAAUCACAUUGAUUAAGAGUGAAAAUCACUAGAUUUCAAUUUGUAGUGAUCGAGAAAUCAAUCUCUAACUCUUAGCCUCUAUUCUGGCCUUCUUAAUAAAAGUAUGGCUAGUAUGAAUGUCGAGAUUUGAUUUUAUCAUUUUAUUUCUCUUUCGGGCUAAUUUAGAUAAUCGCUUGAUGAUCAUGCAUUAAAAAAUGAUGUCGCGAGUCCGAUUUCAAUGGGAUCCUGUUCCUGACCUUGUUUUCCAGGUGGGUCGGUCCGGUUCCUAAAUAUACCCGAUCCGGUUGCACACUCCUAGUUAAUAUUUUCUAAUUUAACUAAAUGGAAAGUACGGAAGUGUUGUAUACAUGUGGUUUUUGCAUUGCACCAAAAUAGAAUCAUUAGAUUAGGAAUUGCAUGAGAUUGGUCAAUGUGAUAUUUAUGGACGCCAGCAAUCUAAAGCCUAUGAUCCCUGUGCCUCGUUUUAUCAUGACAUUAACAUUAGCUACCACUCUUAGAAAGACAGAAAAAAAAAAAAAGACAGUUACAGCGUAUGGGCGGUGCAAGAGGCCUGAAACAUCACGGGAUUAGAAGGGCGAAGUCAGUCCACGAAGACUUGGACUGACAAUAGUCCAUGAUGAGCCAGCAUUGCUCCAAGAAGGAAUCAAACCAAAGAUUGACCCAAGUAUAAGGCACACGCUAAAGCAUUGACGGGUCUUCUUUUCCACGCUAGGAUCCGUCUUCUUUUUCUUUGCUAUAUUGCUUUUCUUUUCAUUAUCAAUUUGCUUUUUUGAUAAGAUUUUCCUUGGAUCCUCAGGGACGUUUGAGGUCUCUAGUCAGUUAAUUAUUUUGAUAGUUGAUUGAUUGGUGGCCACCGCUUGAUCAAGGAUUUUUUUUUUUUUUUUUUUUGGCCUAGCAGCACUUGAGAAGUAGGGCCUCUGAACUUUUUUCCAUGUCUGAAUUGUCUCCCAAAGAAAAGAUCAAGUGAUAUCAACGAAGGGGAGGCAAUGCUUGUUUUAUUCAUCAUUGUUCUAGCUUGUGAAAAGCUUAUGAUAUCGUACAUAUCAACGUUUUAUGAGUGACUUUUAUUGGUUAAAAAACGGUCGAUAAUGCAACUUACCUUAGUUAUUGUUGAGUUAGUAUUGUGAAUCUUCAGUUGUGAAGUAGCUAUUUUUUAUCAUAAAACAUAAAAAUUUUAGUUAUCAAGCGAAAUGUGGUAUACAUAUAGUUUUGCCUUGCAUUGAAAUCAAAUCAUUACAUUAAAAAUCGCAUUAUCUACCACUCUCCAAAGAAAAUAAAUAAAUAAAAGAAUAGCGUACCGGUAAGGGCAAAGUCAAAGUCUACGAAGACUUGGACUACCAACAGUCCAUGAUGAACCAGCUUUGCUCAGGAAGGAAUCACAUCAAUGAUUCAUUCAUUUGGUACUUUGUCCCUCACAUACGGGCAUUCAUGAACGUGGAGAUUCUAUCAAAAAGAAGGGAAAAAAAUGUCACUAGAUCACUUUGUCAAAUCCAACACCGACUCAUUGUUCUCCCAUUCACCCGCAAAAUUUACAUGGCAAUAAAUCGAUUUCCAAUUCUCAUAUUCAUUGAUAAUUUCAUUACACGAUUUCCUCCGAUUCUAUAAUUUCAUAUGAGAUUUGAAAAUCAAAUAAGAACAACCUCUAAGGAUGUCUUUAUGUCACUGAGAUUUUUUUUUUUUUUUGUGUGACCGGAAAAUGCUUUUAGCAAAUUCAAUUUCAGAGAAAGGGAAUCGGAAAAUUUUGAUUAUGGUGAAAACAAGUUGAAAAAGACUGAUUUUAUUGUAAUUGGUAAUAAGUGAAUCCACUAAAUGUAACUUGUAUCAUUAAAAGUAACAUGGAAUGACUAAUAAACUAGAAUUGAUAUCUUCUUCAUUUAUUCUAUAAUCCAUCAAAAUAACAUUGAUUACAAAGAAAAUAAGAUUGAAAUUAUGAAAUCAUAUUUGUAAAAUAUUAGAUAUAAUCGUGCUUUGGGAAUGUAGAAAAAUUGAGCAUCAAUAAAGUAUAGUCUUCUCACUUCAAAGCUUAGCAAGAAAACAAGGGUAAUGAUUCCUUCUUGCCAAGUCAUUUUUCUCUAGGCUUAUUGUUUUUAGGAUUAAUACCGCGAAGAAUCUCAAACUAGUAUAUCCGUGAUAAAUUUAUUCAAAAUUAAUUUUUUGAUCACCAAAAACUCAAAACUGGCAAAUUUGUGAUAAAUUUAUUCUCCAUUAAUUUCCGUUAAAUUGAAUAAAUAAUAAGAACAAACACAAACCGGUACACAUGUGAUAAAUAAAAAAUAAAACCCCAAACUAAUAGAGUGGUCAAUUGUAAAAAUUUGAUGUGGCUGUAUGUUUUGAGGCCUCUCUGCCCUCAACUUGAUCUAUGCUUCUAACUGAGAAAUGCUACUUGCACAAGCACACGCAAUAUGGCCUUGCCCAACAUCCAACCCACCCCACCCCACCCCCUCCCCCUUUUUCUUUUCUCUCACUCCACCUUUUAUAUAGGUUGUAGAUGUAAACUGUGGAAGCUUCAUGUGAUUGUAAGUUUCUGUUUUCAUUCUUGCAUACAGUGAAAUCACUUCUGAAGGACGAAGGAUAACAAAGCUCGAUCAGAUUUUGCUUAACGGAAACAACAUAGCUAUCGUAAGAAACAACUUCUUCCUUCUGCUGAUAUUGAUGUGGCUAUAUGUUUUGAGCCCUUGCAUCGAUAAGGAUGUGGUCUUGCCUAAAGUUUUGGUGAUCUACUAACUAGUAAGCAAUCGCCUUAACAUAACAGAAACAAUCAGCCACUCAGAGAGAUUCCUUCCAAUAUGUAGACUGAAAAUGCUUUGACGAUAUACUGAUGAAUUUUUAUUGGUCUUGAUUUUGUGGUAAAAGAGUCAUCAUUCCCUAUUCUUUACAAGAAUCUGGUCUUUUGUCUCAAUCAACCUUGUGUCCACCUCUUGAUAAAUAUAAAGCGUCAGUUGUGUGGCAGUUAUGUUAUUGAAAAGCUAGAAUUCUGCUUUGAAGUGCUUGAACCACUCAAGUGAUGAUGCCUUCCUUUUUUUCUUAAUGCAGUUAGUCCCUGGUGGCUCCCCUGAUCUGGAAUGAGUUGGAUUCAUCCUCUAACCUCAGCAGUAGAUUAUGUAGUUACUUUAGUUGUUGGAAAUCCCAUCAGCAACAUCAUUUGAUUUUAUAACCCUCUUUUUUUGGGUUUAUGAAUCUGCAACCUUAGUUAAAUGAGCUCUAAUUAAAUUGAGCUCAUGUAUGAAUGUCUGAUGCAAAUAGCUCAACGGAUGGUGCAUGAUCACAUCACCUUAUUAUCCAAUAUCUAUGUUUUGCUCAACUAGAGGGCAUGUCAGUUGUUGUUUUGCUUGGUGCAAGUUGUUCCUAGGAUUCAUCUUCAGGUACAUUGUCAUUGAAGAACCUGUCUUGGCUUGUUUUAGUGUUCUGCAGCUUUUGGUCGUUGACUGCAUAACGACGUCUGUAUU
rnacentral:lncRNA from 1 species